rnacentral:rRNA from 1 species
GAUGAACGCUGGCGGCGUGCCUAAUACAUGCAAGUCGAGCGAACAGACGAGGAGCUUGCUCCUCUGACGUUAGCGGCGGACGGGUGAGUAACACGUGGAUAACCUACCUAUAAGACUGGGAUAACUUCGGGAAACCGGAGCUAAUACCGGAUAAUAUAUUGUACCGCAUGGUUCAAUAGUGAAAGACGGUUUUGCUGUCACUUAUAGAUGGAUCCGCGCCGCAUUAGCUAGUUGGUAAGGUAACGGCUUACCAAGGCGACGAUGCGUAGCCGACCUGAGAGGGUGAUCGGCCACACUGGAACUGAGACACGGUCCAGACUCCUACGGGAGGCAGCAGUAGGGAAUCUUCCGCAAUGGGCGAAAGCCUGACGGAGCAACGCCGCGUGAGUGAUGAAGGUCUUCGGAUCGUAAAACUCUGUUAUUAGGGAAGAACAAAUGUGUAAGUAACUAUGCACGCCUUGACGGUACCUAAUCAGAAAGCCACGGCUAACUACGUG